AUUGAACGCUGGCGGCAGGCCUAACACAUGCAAGUCGAGCGGAGCGGCGGACGGGGGAGUAAUGCCUAGGACUCUGCCUGGUAGUGGGGGAUAACGUCCGGAAACGGGCGCUAAUACCGCAUACUAUAGGAUGAGCAUCGGUGGGAUUAGCUAGUUGGUGGGGGAAAGGCGUACCAAGGCGACGAUCCAUAACUGGUCUGAGAGGAUGAUCAGUCACACUGGAACUGAGACACGGUCCAGACUCCUACGGGAGGCAGCAGUGGGGAAUAUUGGACAAUGGGCGAAAGCCUGAUCCAGCCAGGCCGCGUGUGUGAAGAAGGUCUUCGGAUUGUAAAGCACUUUAAGUUGGGAGGCGUUACCAACAGAAUAAGCACCGGCUAACUUCGUGCCAGCCGCCGCGGUAAUUC
rnacentral:rRNA from 1 species